AUGGGGACUAGCCCGGGUGGUUCGGCGUCACCUGUCACCUGAAACCGUCGGUAUGCGGGGGGCGAAGUUUGAGGAAGGCCGAGGCGGCCUGCUGGAGCCGCCGUUUUCUUUCGUUGAAACCUCGUCCCAUGAGGUCGGUGGACAGGGAUCAAAGUCCCGGAGGGGGCGGCGACCUGCAGCCGCGGGUAACGGUUCAGGCCCGGAAGGGAGCAGACUUACCGUGGACAUCCGGCGCCCAUGGGGGCGCGGGGCGGAGGAGGAGGUCGGUGGUGAACGCAGGUGCGUGCGGUCGACCGAUAACACGUCCCCAU
rnacentral:SRP_RNA from 1 species